rnacentral:rRNA from 1 species
GACGAACCGUGCGAACGUUGUUCGGAAUCACUGGGCUUAAAGGGCGCGUAGGCGGGCGAUCAAGUCAGGGGUGAAAUCCUCCGGCUCAACCGGAGAACUGCCUUUGAUACUGGUCAUCUCGAGUGAGGUAGGGGCAUGCGGAACUGAUGGUGGAGCGGUGAAAUGUGUUGAUAUCAUCAGGAACUCCGGUGGCGAAAGCGGCGUGCUGGACCUCUUCUGACGCUGAGGCGCGAAAGCUAGGGGAGCAAACGGG